rnacentral:rRNA from 1 species
AUGCAGCGAGGAGUGGCUGCAUGUAGUACAACCGAGUGCACCACCGCAGCGCUACCACCACAGGCGCAACCAAUAGCGGCUGGGGCGGCCAUGGACGGGAAGAAGGGGAAGAAGAAGGGCGGCCUCAGAACAAUGCCCUUCAUCUUUGCCAACGAGGUGGCGGAGAAGCUUGCCGUGGUGGGCUUCUCGACGAACAUGCUGACCUACCUCACCCAGCAGAUGCACAUGCCGCUGGCCAAGGCGGCCACCACCCUCACCAACUUCGGCGGCACCUCCGCCAUGACCCCGCUCAUCGGCGCCUACCUCGCCGACGCCUGCAUCGGCCGCUUCUGGACCAUCGCCGGCGCCUCCGUCGUCUACCAAUUCGGGAUGGCCCUCCUGACGGUGUCGGCGGCGCUGCCGCAGUUCCGGCCGGCACCGUGCAAGGCGGCAGGGGGCGGCAGCGGCGCGUGCGAGCAGGCGCUGCCGUGGCAGCUCGCCGUGCUCUACGUGUCGCUGUUCCUGAACGCGGUGGGCGCCGGCGGGUACCGGCCGUGCAUCGUGGCGUUCGGGGCGGAUCAGUUCGACGAGUCGCAGACGGCGGAGCGCGCGCGGACGUGGGGCUUCUUCAACUGGUACUACUUCUGCAACGGCGCGUCGCAGCUGGUGGCCGUGACGGCGGUGGUGUACGUGCAGGACAACGUGGGGUGGGGCUGGGGCCUUGGCGUGCCGGCCUUCUGCAUGGGCGUCUCCGUCGUCGCCUUCGUCGGCGGGUACCCGAUGUACCGCCGGCUCGACCCGUCGGGCAGCCCGUUCACGCGUCUCGCGCAGGUGGUCGUUGCCGCCGUCCGGAAGCGCCGCGUCCCCAGGGUGGACGACCCCGGGAGGCUUUACGAGAACGACGAGAUGGAUGCGCCCAUCUCCAUGUACGGCAAGCUCGUGCACACCAACCAGCUCAGCUACUUCGAUCGCGCAGCAAUUAUCACCGACGGCGACCUGCCCACGAUGGACGCCUCUUUCAGCAAGCAACCGCUGAACCUGUGGCGGCUGAGCACGGUGCACCGUGUGGAGGAGCUCAAGUCGGUGGUGCGCAUGGGCCCGAUCUGGGCGGCGGGCAUCCUGGUGAUCACGGCGUCGUCGCAGCAGCACACCUUCUCCCUGCAGCAGGCGAGUACCAUGGACCGCCGCAUCGCUCCGCACUCAUCCUUCAAGAUCCCCGCCGGCUCCAUGACCGUCUUCACCAUGCUCGCCAUGCUUGUCACCCUCUUCGUCUACGACCGUACGCUCGUCCCGCUGGCCCGCCGCCGCACGGGCCUGGACCGUGGCAUCUCCUUCCUCCACCGCAUGGGCGUCGGGUUCACCAUCUCUGUGGCGGCCUCCCUCGUUGCGGGCUUCGUCGAGCGCCAUCGCAGGGAGGCCGCCGUGGCCGGGGGAACCACCGACGCUGGGACAGCCCCGCUGUCUGUGUACUGGCUGGUGCCGCAGUACGCACUGCACGGGGUGGCUGAGGCGUUCAACUCCGUGGGGCACCUGGAGUUCAUGUAUGACCAGGCGCCGGAGAGCAUGCGCAGCACGGCAACAGCGCUCUUCUGGCUGUCCAUCUCGCUGGGCAGCUACGUGAGCACACUGCUGAUCACCAUCGUUCACCGGUGGAGUGCCGGUCCCGACGGGUCCAACUGGCUCCUGGACAACAUUAACCGGGGCAAGUUGGACUACUUCUACUGGGUCGUGACGCUGCUACAGGUCAUGAACCUGGUGUACUAUCUGAUAUGUGCUAGACAAUACACGUACAAGCCCGUGCAACACCACGAGGAAGAGGAGGGGAAGGACAAGUCCAUGGUGGAGCUGCAACAGAAGGUUUGA